GGAGGGCAGAUCGGUGAAGAGCCCACAGCAUGGUUUCGCCUGAAAAAACCAAUACUCGUCAUCCUUUCGGCGAGUGAGCCUAUGCAGCUCGGCGAACACCUUCGCUGUGGGAUCGAUCCCUUUGGCUCGGCAGAGACCUCUGAAGGCCACCAAGAUCCGCCAGGAGUUCGGAUGUACUUGGGCCAUCGAGACAUGGUGAAAUUUCAAAACGUCUUUGAAGAAGUUAUCAAGAGGAAACCGCAGCUCGGCUUUCAAUUGCUCUUCAUAUA
rnacentral:misc_RNA from 1 species